GAUGCUUUUUAAUCCAUGAGAUCUCUGUGGAAAGGACGAAGACAAGGCAGAAUUGUCCACUAUGGGUGAGCUCCAAAAGGAUCUUGAGCCCAGUGAGUGCCCAGUACCCCAAUGAGAAUCAGCUCCUUAUCAUUUCAGGUUACCCUGGAUUUCCCUCAUUGAUUUAUUGUGAAAUGAUGACCUGGAGUGAGCAGAAUUGUGAACAGGCUGGGGUCAGAAUAUCCUCUUAAAGAUAAUUUGGGGUCACAUGGCCACGAAAUCCAAGAAAAGCCUGAGUUUUCCUGCUCUGGAUCUGCACAGAAUUCAGGACUGGGGGUGUUUGUGCAGCACUAAAGGGAUAAAGUUCUUUUGGCCUCCUCUGUUGAACUGCACUCUCUCUUCCUGCUCAUUUCACAGCCAAAAGGGUCAGAGCUUCUCCUUUUAUUUCAACAAACUGAACCCAGAAAUCACCAUCCAAUCAAUCUCGGGAAAAAAAAAAAAAAAAAAGAGGAAUACUCUGUUUCCAUCUGCAUUUUUCCAAAUGAGGUGUUGUAGCACCAGAGGCUUCCAGGACAAGGAACAGCUUUCCCUCAGCGUUUGUCUGGAAGUUGAAGGUUUGCAGCUCCCAAAGUUUGUUUGGACUGAAGAUGUGUCUCACACCUUUGGGAUACAGUUGGACAGCAGAAAAUGAUGGAAAUAGGGUCUGUUUUGAAGGACACCCAGUGGCUGCACAAACAUCUGACUGCUGCAGAGCAGGAGGUUCUUCUCUGCUGAACCUUCUGUUUGUCUUUUAUUUUUCCAUUUCAUAAAUACCGAUUGGAAACUUCUCCUUGGAAGGCAGAGGGAAAUCUUGUGGAUUGUAAACACGGAGAAGAGGAAUUGUUUAGGAUGGUGAAAAGGGUAUAAGGACUCAAAGCAUAACGUUAAGUGGAGGAAAGUUGAGGCUGGAUAAACUUCCAAGUGCUGAAAUCUUAUUAGGCUGUGGAAAAUUCUUCCAAAAGAUGUGGGAGACGCUCCACUGUUUGAGCAGUUUGCCAUUAGAUUGGACAAAACACUACAAGGAAACCUUAAACAAUCUUGCCCCAGCAAAGGGCGUGAAGUGAAGAGGCCAAAAUUUGAUGUCUCCAACACCUCCUUUGAUUUCAUGGACCACGAAUCCAUCCACGCCCAGAGAGGGAGAGCAUCCGUGGGAUUUGUGUGGCUAAAGGUGGAUUCACCACUGGGAUGGACUCAGAUCUGGAACCUGCUGGAGAGAAACCUGUGCCAUCCAACAAAGCAGAAGGUGUCAGGGCCUCCCAUCCCAGCAAGGAACAGCAAUUCAAAACAGGAAAAUGGGAAAUAAAGACACACAUUGGAAAUGUUU